AUUACCUGUGUUGGCUAUGUUAGCAGCAUAGUUCUUCAAUGUGUGGCAUAGCUGUCCUUAUAGAAAAACAAAAUGGUUAAUUCAGGUUUGGUUUUUGAAUGAUCUUGUACACCUGGAGGUAUGUUGGGCUAUGUUUCUCACUAUUUACAAAAACCUGUUAUGUGUAAAUACAUCUGAUGCUUACCCAUAUCAUCCCCAGUUCUGUAGAAACAAAUUCAACAAAAGAGGAGAAGCCUGGAAUAGUGGAAUACUUUAAUCGUCACACCAGUACUGUUGUGUGGUUUUCUUUUCUUCUGCCCUGGUUUCUCUAAGCUCACAAUGUGUUUGCAGGGCUGGUCUAGGUCUUCCUUCUUGCCUUUACUGGGCAGAACUAAGAUAAUAGGAAUAAAAAGGGGAAGCAGAACAAAAGGAUGGGCAGGUUCUCCCAGGUAGAAUCGACAGUCCAGUCCAGUGCUCCUGCCACUUCUCUUGGACCUGCUGCUCCCACUGUGUGUGUGUGUGUGUGUGUGUGUUUCUGUGAAUGAGUGUAUGUGCACAUGUAUGUCUGCAUGUGUGUGUGCACAUAUGUCUGUGUGUGCUUGUAUGUGUCUGCAUGCGUGUGCAUGCAUGUGUCUGUGUGGUUUGGACUUGGCGUGUUAUCCCAGGCGGGCCUUGCCAUCCAGAAAAGAAGAAGGCAGUUAGGAAAUGCACUUAACUGCUGCAGGGAAGCUAGAGUUGCUUUGUGGAGCUUGUUUCAAAUGGGUUUUGUUUUGAAUCUACAAGUUCAUUCAAAUUCAAUCACAGCAAAAUUCACAGAUUGUGAUGUCAUGCGGAUUGAAACCAAAAAAGGCUGUAUAGAAUGCUUUCUGCCAGAUUUUACUCAUGGCUUCAGGAAACUCCCCCACCCACCAGUCUUUUUUCUUUUUUCUUUUUUUCCUUUGCAUUGUGAGCCAAGACUUAAGGGCUGUGCCUUACUAAGCCUCACUUCCAUUUACAGAGUUUUCUUUUUUUAACAGCCCUUGGGCCUACGGCCUUGACAUCUGUGCUGCGAUUUCUCUAAGCUCCUAUCACUCUGCUUUGCUUCCGCAUUAAAAAGAGAAUAGAUCCUUCUAAUUGUACAGACACCAACAUUGUCUAGGGCAGGGGGAGGGUUGGGUAGAGAAGGAAUUUAUCAAUCAUGAACCUAGUCCACCUGUUUAUUGUUAUUAAGCUAACUGCAUGGAGAAGACACCCUCAAUCCACAAGGAAGGCCCCUCGGAGGUGACUGUUACUACUGGGCCUUCCUUCCCCAUGACGUGACACUUGCAUUCCUCUGGCCUCCUGGCAGAUGGAAACCUCACUUAUGUCAUCCCUGUGUGGUGGCUUGGACUUUGGUAGUCCAGCACUGUUAUGGGAUGACUUAAGGAAGGGCUGUGCCCUGGGUCUGUUUAAGGGAAGGUGUGGGCCUCGGGCUCUUAGGAUAAGGAAGGAGCAGGAGCUGGCAUGACCUUUCAUUCCUGUGUGUCGGCCAUGCUGGGGCUGUGGCUGGGAGCACACCAGUAUGGCCUUCCUGGACGCAGCCCUCUGUGGACAGUAACUGGACCCUUUUGGUCUAGAUUGGAUUAGAACUAGGAUUACAUUCGAUUCCUUGUGGUGAGUCUUUUUCUAGCUAGAGAAACCUAAACCCACCUUCUCCCAGUGUGAUUCUUGAGUGAUACCAACAUGUAAGAAUGUUAGUUCAAACUGUCAGGCACAGGGAGUGGAAUCUCAGUGUUCCCACGAAUGAAUGGAUAAAUAUAGAAGUGGCAUAGGAGUCAAAUUUACUUAAUUUCUUGUCUCAGUCUAGACCACUGAUGGGCUGAAUUCCUAUGAGUGGGGAUGAGACCCUCAAUCUCCCUGUGCCACUCGGGGGCUCUUCGCCUUGUGCCUUGCCUUGAGGUCAGUGGUGGUUCAAGGAUGAUCUCGACCUCUUGAGAGUCGUGAAUUCCUUCUUCUUGCUGCUGUGACACUGUAUUAUCUCUUAUCACAAUGCUCACUGUUUUGUCUUGUAUGUUUUCAUCCAUGUCCUCUCCCAACGCUUCCUUUCAGAAUGCGAGCUUCUCCAGAGAAGCUGUGGCUUCCCGUGUCUCAGCACCCAGUGCGCUUCCCAGCGCCCAGCACGCUGAUUUGAAACUCUCUCAAUAAGUGUGCCAAUGAAGUUUUGUUGAUAAAUAAUUAAGAAAUAAAUGAGAAUAGUCUCUCUGGUGCACGAGCCUUCCUAUUCGCUCUCAGUGAAUUCUUGGUUUGAAAAUGCAGUGGUGUGGUAGACCAGAAACAAGGUCAGAACUCCAGUACAGAAUAGACAGGUUUGUCUUCUCCUGAGGAAGUGGAUGCCAUGUGUCACUUUGCAGAUGGAUCAAGUGCAGGAGGUGCCUGUUGGAGACGCAGAGCUCUGCAGCAGCAGACACCGCUUCCUGGAGCUGUUCUGUGCAGAAGUUGAGUGAAGAUACUGCAGCGAGCCCUGGGUCUGAACGCCUGUGUGCUGACUCUAGACCUGCUCCUCAGCCCCAGUUUUCUCUGAAAAACCAGGAUUCUAGCACAACUCGUACCCCCAUUCUUUUCAGUCCUGCACCCACCAGCGAGCCGCAAGGCCCAGGAGCUACUGGCCCUGUUUUCCUGUCUCCAGUACUGGCCUUUGAUUUAUGAGAUGUCCCCUGUCUCCCCUGCUUCUGACCUCCCAGGAUGGCAUUUGGUGAUUUCUUGAUGUUCUCUUGCUUUGGCAUUAAAAUAUGGAUGGGAGUGUCAUUUCCAGAUCUUUUCCAGACCUGUGCAAUUCUUUCCAUUCUUCAUAACAGCCCAUGACCCACCUUCCUCUGUUUCAGCCACAAAGCUAGCCAUGCCUGUGUGCGCACUGCUGUUUCUCAUUGUUAAUAUUUUAACUGUUAUUAAAAAAAAAACUUUCUUUUAAACUGUGUGUGUAUGGUUUUAAAAAUUGACGCACUUCCAGAGCUCUCAACUUCUGCAGUCUUUCUGAGGUCCGUGUUCCUCUUCUUCAGCUGGGAAGCAAAUGCUUGACUU
rnacentral:lncRNA from 10 species